ACGUUAGGCUCUCUUGUCAUCUCCUCGUCAUCUUCGAUGAUUUUACUUAACUUUAUGUAGUUUUAGUGUAGUUACUGUACUUUUAUUAAUUUAGGAAAACAAUUAUCCCAACAUAAUUAUCCCAUAAAAUAUGAUAUAAUUUUUACAAUGAAAAAGGUUGAAUUGCUAAUUAUAAACUAUGAAUAUAGAUUUGAAAGAACAGGCUAAACGAAGCUUGCUAAAUAUUAAUUUAAAGCCAAUAAUGAUAUAAACAAGUUCUUUUAUCAACGUAUUUUAUAAAACAUGUUAACAAAUAGAGCUUCAAAUGGACAGAACUAUUGUAGAAAAUUAAUCAGUAUUCCUGCAUCAGCACAUCACCUGAUAAGCAAACACAUUGUCAAAUUGUAAUCUUAUAAAUGGUAGCACUGCCACCUCCCAGAUCUGAUGUGCUCAGUUCAUCAGUUCAGAUCCCAUGCCUGAAUGUUGUCUGUGCAGAGUUUGUGCAUUCUCAGGCUGUCUGAAUGGGAAUUCUUCUUCCAUCAUCAAAAGGCAAAAUGCAGUUUUCCAAAGCCUAUCCUGGAAUCAUCAAACACCAUUCACAAAGCAGCCUAUUGUCUAUUGUGAGGCACUCAUGAACAGUGUUUUUAUUAUUCUUUUGUUUUUCCUAAAAAGU